GCGGGUAUGGUUUAGUGGUAGGACGCAACCUUCCCAAGGUUGAAACGCGAGUCCGAUUCUCGCUACCCGCA
rnacentral:tRNA from 1 species